rnacentral:tRNA from 3 species
GCGGGAGUGGUGGAAUUGGCAGACACGCAGGAUUUAGGUUCCUGUGCCUCACGGCGUGUGGGUUCAAGUCCCACCUUCCGCAC